rnacentral:rRNA from 1 species
GUGAGGAAUAUUGGUCAAUGGGCGCUAGCCUGAACCAGCCAAGUAGCGUGAAGGAUGACUGCCCUAUGGGUUGUAAACUUCUUUUAUAUGGGAAUAAAGUGCAGUAUGUAUACUGCUUUGCAUGUACCUUAUGAAUAAGGAUCGGCUAACUCCGUGCCAGCAGCCGCGGUAAUACGGAGGAUCCGAGCGUUAUCCGGAUUUAUUGGGUUUAAAGGGAGCGUAGAUGGGUUGUUAAGUCAGUUGUGAAAGUUUGCGGCUCAACCGUAAAAUUGCAAUUGAUACUGGCGUCCUUGAGUACAGUUGAGGUGGGCGGAAUUCGUGGUGUAGCGGUGAAAUGCUUAGAUAUCACGAAGAACUCCUAUUGCGAAGGCAGCUCACUAAACUGCAACUGACAUUGAGGCUCGAAAGUGUGGGUAUCAAACAGG